UACCAAGGCGACGAUGGUUAGCUGGUCUGAGAGGAUGAUCAGCCACACUGGAACUGACACACGGUCCAGACUCCUACGGGAGGCAGCAGUGAGGAAUUUUGCGCAAUGGGGGAAACCCUGACGCAGCAACGCCGCGUGAGUGAUGAAGGCUUUCGGGUCGUAAAGCUCUGUCAAGUGGGAAGAAACCACGAAGUGAUAAUAUCGCUUUGUGCUGACGGUACCACUGAAGGAAGCACCGGCUAACUCCGUGCCAGCAGCCGCGGUAAUACGGGGGGUGCAAGCGUUAUUCGGAAUCAUUGGGUGUAAAGGGCGCGUAGGCGGUUUGUUAAGUCAGAUGUGAAAGCCCGGGGCUCAACCCCGGAAGUGCAUUUGAUACUGGCGGACUUGAGUAUGGGAGAGGGAAGUGGAAUUCCUGGUGUAGAGGUGAAAUUCGUAGAUAUCAGGAGGAACACCGGUGGCGAAGGCGACUUCCUGGACCAAUACUGACGCUGAGGCGCGAAGGCGUGGGUAGCAAACAGGAUUAGAUACCCUGGUAGUCCACGCAGUAAACGGUGAUCACUAGGUGUAGCGGGUAUUGACCCCUGCUGUGCCGCAGUUAACGCAUUAAGUGAUCCGCCUGGGGAGUACGGCCGCAAGGUUAAAACUCAAAGGAAUUGACGGGGGCCCGCACAAGCGGUGGAGCAUGUGGUUUAAUUCGACGCAACGCGAAGAACCUUACCUGGGUUUGACAUCUCGGGGAUUUUUUGGAAACAAGAAAGUGCCCUUCGGGGAGCCCGAAGACAGGUGCUGCAUGGCUGUCGUCAGCUCGUGUCGUGAGAUGUUGGGUUAAGUCCCGCAACGAGCGCAACCCUUAUCUUUAGUUACCAUCACUUCGGGUGGGGACUCUAAAGAUACUGCCCCGGUCAACGGGGAGGAAGGUGGGGAUGACGUCAAGUCCUCAUGGCCUUAUGCCCAGGGCUACACACGUGCUACAAUGGGCGAUACAAAGGGUAGCGAGCCUGCGAAGGUGAGCCAAUCCCAAAAAGUCGUUCUUAGUUCGGAUUGGAGUCUGCAACUCGACUCCAUGAAGCUGGAAUCGCUAGUAAUCGCGGAUCAGCACGCCGCGGUGAAUACGUUCCCGGGCCUUGUACACACCGCCCGUCACACCAUGAGAGUUGGUUGUACCAGAAGUUGUUGGGCUAACCCGCAAGGGAGGCAGGCACCUAAGGUAUGGCUGAUGAUUGGGGUGAAGUU
rnacentral:rRNA from 1 species